CGCUCGGGUGCUCUGCAGACAGUUCGGGAAGGUUUAAGAGCAAUAGAUCGCGCUAGAGAGUAAAAGGAAGGGCUCAGCAUCUUCUUCACCUCAACCCGAAGCUCGGCAAGUGGUUUUCGGUGCUCUGGACGCAGCAGGUGGGGAAGCCCACGACGGCGGCGAAUUCGUUCAUCGGAGAGAUCUGAACCAAGGCGAGAGAGCUGCUGGGGCGGCUUCACGUCGCGUUAAACGGAAGAGGGGGUCGAGAGGGAGGGCACGGGGCUUUAUUGGCCUGGAGAAGAUCUCCUAACGCGUGAAAUCCCGACCUGAGCGGGAUUCGGUUUCCACCGAGAGCCCGGGGUCGGUGUGGACUCGAGGGAGAAGAAAGGAAGGGUGGGAGGGGAGACUGACACGCGGGCCCGGGAUGUCAGCGAACAGAGAGAGGAAGGGGAGGGAAGGGCGCGCGGCUGGGCUGUUGGGCCCAAGCAAGCUGGGCCGCGGGAAAAGAAGGAGGAGGCCUUCAGGCCGAUUUUCCAGGGAGAGGUGAGGGUUUCCUAUUAUUUUUUUCUUUUCUUUUGUUUAUUUCAAAGCCAUUUUCAAAUUCGUUAUAAAAUCACUUUGAAUUAUUUUUGAACUUUAAUAAAGCCACUCAGCACAAUAAUUAAAAUGCAUAAGCAUGAGUGCACAAAAAUGUUGCUACACCCUAUGAUUGAUUUUAAAUGACUAAAAAUAUUAUUUUUCCUAUAUUUUCAUGAGCACAAAAUACAAAAUUAAAUCAUUUUUCUCCUAUUUAAAAAGUUGUAGAUUUUUGGGUGUUACAAAUCUACCCCCUUAAAAUGAAUCUCAUCCUCGAGAUUCGAAAGAGCAUGGAUUCCAAAAGAGAAACAGGAAAAGAUCUUAAUACUCUUUCAACUUCACACUUGCAUUCCAACUGCAAACUCUUGUGUCUCGGGAUCAUAACUUAUGAACAAAGCUCCCAUAAGAUGUUUAUUAUUCAGAUUUGAUCAAAGUCUAUCUUGAAUUCCAACCUUUUGACUUACAACUCAAGAUCGUGAUAGCUUAGCAUAGAUUUGCCUCCUCAGGUAGGAGUGGACCACCUUGAUACUCGAUUCUUUUCCUUGAUGGUGCGGUUGAGAAAAUUUUCCACUGGAUAUCAUAGAUCACUCCUUUGUGUGCACAUGACCAUAAGAUACAUGAUAGUUUUAAAAACAUCAUCCCGUGAUAUCAAGGUACUACCCCCCUUAAGACGAGGUUGAUUGGGGGACACUAGGGACUAGUUCUCCUAUCCUUUUUAGAUGCUACACAUCAUAGUCUUUUAAAUUCCUUGUACCAAGUCUCUUAAUCCAGGGUUGGUUUCAACACUAAGUUCCAUCUAUUGGUACCUUUAUCGCAAUUAAGUUGUUUCACUCUCAUAUUGUAUAUGUAACUUUGUAGCCUUUGGUGUCAUCUGAUCCUCAUACACAACUCUUAAUCCAUGAGUAUCAGCAAUGACAUAUACCUCCAUGGAUAUUCUCUAAAUGAGAUGAUAUUCUUGAACCAAAAGAAAUUUACCCAGCGUUUGUGAUACUCACGUAUGAUCCAACACUAGUCAAUCCUUCUCGUUGUAACUCCUUUAACUAGGAUAUCCCCCUUAAGAAAAGUCAACUAGGGGACAAAAGGAAGGUAGCUUGCAUAUUUUCCAGACAAGUUGACUAGCACUGAGAGCUUUUGACAUCCCAAAGAACUUGUGUGCAAAAGAAUAAAUAGGUAUCCUGAAAUUUUCUCAUGAUAUGGAAACACCAGUGUAGUAAAACAGGUAUAACUCUUAUUCUGUCAUUCCAAUAGAGUUGUAGCUUAUACUGUUACAAAACUUAUGAAAUUCCCUACAACUUUCAUGUAGAAGACCUCCUUAGAUUCUGUCUUUAAGCUUAGGUAAAACAGUCAAACUUAAUAUCCAUCCUGACAAUGUCUCAGCAAAGGUGCAGUAACUUCCAGAGGUUAUAUCUCGAGCUCCUUAACUCAUCUGGAGAUGAUCCUUAUAUUGUUGAAAAGCUUAUGAAAUCCUCUACAUCUUUCGUGUACAACUCUUUCCCAGAUUCUGAAGUUAAUUUAGCUGAAAGUAGGAAAUACCAGAUCUGUCCAGAUUUUGAAACAGAAAAGAAACAUCCAAGUUUAAAUGUCAUAUCUCCGGUUCUACUUGUACAAUAAAGUUCCAGCUUAUACCGUUGGAAAGCCUAGCAAAUUGUCUAAUAAUUUUCUAUAGAACACGUUUCCAAAUUCUAUAGUUACAUAUGUCUAAACAGUAAGCAACCGAAACUGGUCCAGAUUCUUGACAGCCCAUCUGUAUCAUCUUGUGAUUUUUGUAACUUCCAAAUCAUUCUAGCUAUGAGGGUGAUUCUUGCGGUCAGAGAAAGAUCUUGAAGUCUAGUUGUUCCUAGAAAAAUUUGAUAAACUUUGCAUGAUCAGAACUUGAGAUACACCAGCAUUAUGGCAGACUACUUGAGAAAUCAGCAAGGGAUAGAAACAAGAGAUACCCAAACCCAACUGCUUAUUUCAUUACUCCUUAUGCCUUAGACCUAUAAACUAAAAGAUAUUAUGGAGAAAUCCUACAACAUCAUCGCACUCAUUACAAAGAUCCAAAUCAAGCAUAAGCAUAAUAACAAAACAAUUAAGCAUUGAAGGUUCACACUUCACUCAACUUGCGAUACUAUCGUUCUCUUCAUAAUAAGGGUAAGGAUCCUAAGAUUCUCUUUCAACUACGUAAAGCAGGUGGUAAGAAAAGAUUCUAAUAGCAUACCAAAUCAAAGAGUGAAGGUGGGAACAAGUACUUUUAAAAUAAGCAACAAGGUAAGGAUGAAUAGCGAUGGAAAGGAUAUAGUGGAGAGAAAAAUAUCAAGGCUUACAAAACAAGGAUUUUAUAACAAUUUCAAAAUCUUAAGACGACCAAUUUCUAACUAGGCUUGCAUCCUACAGCCAGCAUUGCUUUGAUACCACUUUGUAAUACCCGAUUUUAAAGACAAAACCAGAUAUGCACCAUAUGCGAGUUUUAAAAGCCAAGUCUCACAUAUAGCUACAAAUAAGGGGUAAUAUCAAAAGACAAUGCAUAAAUUAUAUAACGUACUUAGUAUAAAAGAGAUAACCUUUGAUAAAAAACAGCGGAUAGACAACUCCAAACUUCGGGUAUUAACUUCACUCUACAGGAUCCAACUGACUGGUUGAUCACAAGCCCAAAACUUCUCUUGAGGUGUGGGGGAAAUUGCAAGAGUGAGCACAUAUCGUACUCAACAUGUAUAACCAGGGGUUCAUGAGGCUCAAAUAGCUGACACUGGUUUGACUGCAUGUAGCUUUUAUAUGUAGAUAGCAUAUUUAUCAUUGGAUAGCAAAUGUCAAGGUAGCAUAAUUAAAUCCCAUAACCACAUGAUCAAUGUAUACAAGAAUUAAGAAUAACACAUAUAAACAACAUAAUAAACCAUCCUUUAUUAUCAUUAAUCAUGUUCAUCAGUGUCCAUCUAUUCCGUCAGUUUUUCGGGCCGCCCGUAUCCGUGGGCACGGCUAGUAUACCAGAUUUAACACUCUGCAGAGGUUGUACAUCUUUACCCAUGAGUCAUGAUUUACCCUUUCGCCCGAGGCCCGUCGACCUCUUAGCUCACUUCCGAGGAAAGCCGGCAGGGUUCACUAUGAAGUCUUUCAAAGGUUCGUCUAACAAGUUAGGGCCGCAAGGUUUCCUUUGCGCGCAGAUAUAGAUACCCCCUUCCAAAUGGCACAAUGACGCGCAGCCUAUACACAUAAGGACAGGGGCUCGCACUAUACCCAAAACGGUUCAGCCCCUCCGCCCUUUCGGGUAACCUCUAACAAGCUAGAAAAGCUUACUCAUACUUGACUGAAGCCAGAGCCAUAUAGCCCUCAUGGUUGUACGAGUUGUCCCAGCUUUUGCCAAGGGAUAAGUCCUUAUGGAGGGUCAAGAUCAAUCCGGCAAAAGCCAGAGUUCUUUCCACCCUUUAUAUUCAAGUUGCUAGAAAGCUUAUUUUAUUGUUUAUUGUAUAUUCAAAUAUUCAUGUUACAAGAUCAUGGAUUAUAUUCAAGCACUAGCAAGAACUACCCAAAUGCAUAUCCAAAAUAGGCAACAAGGAAUUCAGGAUAACAAUCAUCUAUGAUUUUGCUAAGGUCAUCAAGGUGGACACAUGCAUAUGAUAAAUGUUAUAUUAAUUGUGUAUAGGAAACAAGGAUGAUCCCCAGUUAUACUUGCCUUGAUCAAAGCUCUCCUGAGCCUGCUACUGGUCGCCAAAAGCUUGACCUUGAUCACCAACGUAAAGCUCACCGACUAAACUCGAUCAUCAAUCAACAACACGCAAUCCAAUGUAGACAAUCAUACACGAAGCAAACAAGCUAUAAUUAGAACAAUACACCAAACAGUGGUAAAACAAAUAUAAAAGUUUAUCAAAAUAUUCUACGCAGCGCUACGAUCACAUAAACGUAAAGUUCGUGAAAAUCGGAGCUAAAAUGGAAAAGUUAUGAAUUUGCUAAGAUUUUAUGUAGAAAAGAAAUUAAUUAAUUAAAAUCACGAAAUUAAAAAGUUUGAAACUGAGUAAACAAUUUUACUAACAUGUAGAGCUCAUGAUUAUGAACCUAACGCAAUUUGAAUGGGUCAAAACGGAAUUAAAAUGAAUAUUUUAUGAUCAUUUUAAAUCUAGUGGCAAUUCUGUAAAUAGCAAAAACGUAAUUAGAACUGAGCCGAGAGAAAAUACGCUUUCAAAAUUGAGAAACGACUUUCCCAGAUGACGCCAAGGACCGCGGGUUGAGCAUUGAAUCUUCUAGGGGCUCUUUAAGAAAAAGACCAGCGAAGGGGUAUCUUCUAAUCUCGAUCGUUGAUCCACGAUCCAACAACUGAGAUUCGAUCUAGGGGGAGGGAGAGGGGAUGGCUGGCCGGAACAGAAACAACGGCGCGGUGGCGCCAUUGACGAGAGUCCUGCUCCUCGCCGGCGUUCGUGGAGAAGGCGCUAGGGACCAUGGUUUUCGAUGGGAAAAGAACCAGGGCGUAGAGGACCUCUGUGCGAACUCACCUAGGGGCUUCACGGGUCGGGGAGGAGCUCGGAAAAGGAUGUUCGACGCGCGGUGGCGCUCGGGUGCUCUGCAGACAGUUCGGCGAAGGUUUAAGAGCAAUAGAUCGCGCUAGAGAGUAAAAGGAAGGGCUCAGCAUCUUCUUCACCUCAACCCGAAGCUCGGCAAGUGGUUUUCGGUGCUCUGGACACAGCAGGUGGCGAAGCCCACGACGGCGACGAAUUCGUUCAUCGUUGAGAUCUGAACCGAGGCGAGAGAGCUGCUGGGGCGGCUUGACGUCGCGUUAAACAGAAGAGGGGGUCGAGAGGGAGGGCACGAGGCUUUAUUGGCCAGGAGAAGAUCUCCUAACGUGCGAAAUCCCGACCUGAGCGGGAUUCGGUUUCCACCGAGAGCCCGAGGUCGGUGUGGACUCGAGGGAGAAGAAAGGAACGGUGGGAGGGGAGACUGACACGCGGGCCCGGGAUGUCAGCGAACAGAGAGAGGAAGGGGAGGGAAGGGCGCGCGGCUGGGCUGUUGGGCCGAAGCAAGCUGGGCCGCGGGAAAAGAAGGAGGAGGCCUUCAGGCCGAUUUUCCAGGGAGAGGUGAGGGUUUCCUAUUAUUUUUUUCUUUUCUUUUCUUUAUUUCAAAGCUAUUUUCAAAUUCGUUUUAAAAUCACUUCGAAUUAUUUUUGAACUUUAAUAAAACCACUCAGCACAAUAAUUAAAAUGCAUAA
rnacentral:lncRNA from 1 species